UCCUACGGGAGGCAGCAGUUAAGAAUAUUCCGCAAUGGACGAAAGUCUGACGGAGCGACGCCGCGUGGAUGAUGAAGGCCGGAAGGUUGUAAAAUCCUUUAGCAAGUGAGGAAUAAGUAGAGAAGGGAAUGUCUCUAUGGUGACUGUAACUUGAGAAUAAGCAUCGGCUAAUUACGUGCCAGCAGCCGCGGUAACACGUAAGAUGCUAGCGUUGUUCGGAAUUAUUGGGCGUAAAGGGCAUGUAGGCGGUUAUUCAAGUCUGGUGUGAAAUCUCGGAGCUUAACUCCGAAACUGCAUUGGAAACUAAGUAACUAGAAUUGCUGAGAGGAAGUCGGAAUUCCAGGUGUAGGGGUGAAAUCUGUAGAGAUCUGGAAGAACACCAAUGGCGAAGGCAGACUUCUAGCAGAUAAUUGACGCUGAGGUGCGAAGGGACGGGGAGCAAACAGGAUUAGAUACCCUGGUAGUCC
rnacentral:rRNA from 1 species